rnacentral:rRNA from 1 species
CUACGUAGCUCAGAGUUUGAUCCUGGCUCAGGACGAACGCUGGCGGCGUGCUUAACACAUGCAAGUCGAGCGAUGAAAUUCUCUUCGGGGAAUGGAUUAGCGGCGGACGGGUGAGUAACACGUGGGUAACCUGCCUCAAAGAGGGGGAUAGCCUUCCGAAAGGAAGAUUAAUACCGCAUAAUAUCUUUUAUUGCAUGAUAAAAGAUUAAAGGAGCAAUCCGCUUUGAGAUGGACCCGCGGCGCAUUAGCUAGUUGGUGAGGUAACGGCUCACCAAGGCGACGAUGCGUAGCCGACCUGAGAGGGUGAUCGGCCACAUUGGGACUGAGACACGGCCCAG